rnacentral:rRNA from 1 species
CCAUAGGUUAAUGAGGCGAACCGGGGGAACUGAAACAUCUAAGUACCCCGAGGAAAAGAAAUCAACCGAGAUUCCCCCAGUAGCGGCGAGCGAACGGGGAGCAGCCCAGAGCCUGAAUCAGUGUGUGUGUUAGUGGAAGCGUCUGGAAAGGCGCGCGAUACAGGGUGACAGCCCCGUACACAAAAAUGCACAUGCUGUGAGCUCGAUGAGUAGGGCGGGACACGUGGUAUCCUGUCUGAAUAUGGGGGGACCAUCCUCCAAGGCUAAAUACUCCUGACUGACCGAUAGUGAACCAGUACCGUGAGGGAAAGGCGAAAAGAACCCCGGCGAGGGGAGUGAAAAAGAACCUGAAACCGUGUACGUACAAGCAGUGGGAGCACGCUUAGGCGUGUGACUGCGUACCUUUUGUAUAAUGGGUCAGCGACUUAUAUUCUGUAGCAAGGUUAACCGAAUAGGGGAGCCGAAGGGAAACCGAGUCUUAACUGGGCGUUAAGUUGCAGGGUAUAGACCCGAAACCCGGUGAUCUAGCCAUGGGCAGGUUGAAGGUUGGGUAACACUAACUGGAGGACCGAACCGACUAAUGUUGAAAAAUUAGCGGAUGACUUGUGGCUGGGGGUGAAAGGCCAAUCAAACCGGGAGAUAGCUGGUUCUCCCCGAAAGCUAUUUAGGUAGCGCCUCGUGAAUUCAUCUCCGGGGGUAGAGCACUGUUUCGGCAAGGGGGUCAUCCCGACUUACCAACCCGAUGCAAACUGCGAAUACCGGAGAAUGUUAUCACGGGAGACACACGGCGGGUGCUAACGUCCGUCGUGAAGAGGGAAACAACCCAGACCGCCAGCUAAGGUCCCAAAGUCAUGGUUAAGUGGGAAACGAUGUGGGAAGGCCCAGACAGCCAGGAUGUUGGCUUAGAAGCAGCCAUCAUUUAAAGAAAGCGUAAUAGCUCACUGGUCGAGUCGGCCUGCGCGGAAGAUGUAACGGGGCUAAACCAUGCACCGAAGCUGCGGCAGCGACGCUUAUGCGUUGUUGGGUAGGGGAGCGUUCUGUAAGCCUGUGAAGGUGUACUGUGAGGUAUGCUGGAGGUAUCAGAAGUGCGAAUGCUGACAUAAGUAACGAUAAAGCGGGUGAAAAGCCCGCUCGCCGGAAGACCAAGGGUUCCUGUCCAACGUUAAUCGGGGCAGGGUGAGUCGACCCCUAAGGCGAGGCCGAAAGGCGUAGUCGAUGGGAAACAGGUUAAUAUUCCUGUACUUGGUGUUACUGCGAAGGGGGGACGGAGAAGGCUAUGUUGGCCGGGCGACGGUUGUCCCGGUUUAAGCGUGUAGGCUGGUUUUCCAGGCAAAUCCGGAAAAUCAAGGCCGAGGCGUGAUGACGAGGCACUACGGUGCUGAAGCAACAAAUGCCCUGCUUCCAGGAAAAGCCUCUAAGCAUCAGGUAACAUCAAAUCGUACCCCAAACCGACACAGGUGGUCAGGUAGAGAAUACCAAGGCGCUUGAGAGAACUCGGGUGAAGGAACUAGGCAAAAUGGUGCCGUAACUUCGGGAGAAGGCACGCUGAUACGUAGGUGAAGCGACUUGCUCGUGGAGCUGAAAUCAGUCGAAGAUACCAGCUGGCUGCAACUGUUUAUUAAAAACACAGCACUGUGCAAACACGAAAGUGGACGUAUACGGUGUGACGCCUGCCCGGUGCCGGAAGGUUAAUUGAUGGGGUUAGCGCAAGCGAAGCUCUUGAUCGAAGCCCCGGUAAACGGCGGCCGUAACUAUAACGGUCCUAAGGUAGCGAAAUUCCUUGUCGGGUAAGUUCCGACCUGCACGAAUGGCGUAAUGAUGGCCAGGCUGUCUCCACCCGAGACUCAGUGAAAUUGAACUCGCUGUGAAGAUGCAGUGUACCCGCGGCAAGACGGAAAGACCCCGUGAACCUUUACUAUAGCUUGACACUGAACAUUGAGCCUUGAUGUGUAGGAUAGGUGGGAGGCUUUGAAGUGUGGACGCCAGUCUGCAUGGAGCCGACCUUGAAAUACCACCCUUUAAUGUUUGAUGUUCUAACGUGGACCCGUGAUCCGGGUUGCGGACAGUGUCUGGUGGGUAGUUUGACUGGGGCGGUCUCCUCCUAAAGAGUAACGGAGGAGCACGAAGGUUGGCUAAUCCUGGUCGGACAUCAGGAGGUUAGUGCAAUGGCAUAAGCCAGCUUGACUGCGAGCGUGACGGCGCGAGCAGGUGCGAAAGCAGGUCAUAGUGAUCCGGUGGUUCUGAAUGGAAGGGCCAUCGCUCAACGGAUAAAAGGUACUCCGGGGAUAACAGGCUGAUACCGCCCAAGAGUUCAUAUCGACGGCGGUGUUUGGCACCUCGAUGUCGGCUCAUCACAUCCUGGGGCUGAAGUAGGUCCCAAGGGUAUGGCUGUUCGCCAUUUAAAGUGGUACGCGAGCUGGGUUUAGAACGUCGUGAGACAGUUCGGUCCCUAUCUGCCGUGGGCGCUGGAGAACUGAGGGGGGCUGCUCCUAGUACGAGAGGACCGGAGUGGACGCAUCACUGGUGUUCGGGUUGUCAUGCCAAUGGCACUGCCCGGUAGCUAAAUGCGGAAGAGAUAAGUGCUGAAAGCAUCUAAGCACGAAACUUGCCCCGAGAUGAGUUCUCCCUGACCCUUUAAGGGUCCUGAAGGA